GUACAUCAUAAACAUCUGAUGACUGAAUGGAUGACAGACACUGCUUCAGUAUGGGUGUCCCUCUAACAUCCUCAGUUGGGAUCACAGGCAUCUGCUUUCUAGAGUCCAGGCAGAGGAUGUGCCCCAGGAAAGUCCUGGGAUCAGCCACAUGGACUCCCUGUUCCUGUUCCCUAUCUAUGCGCCCCACCCCCGCCUUGGGAAACAGGUGUGUCUGAACUGGAGCUGGAAGCAGAGCCCGGGAGCUGGACAACUGGCCUUGGAGUGAGACAAGCUCAGAGUAUAUGACAUCAUGGCCUCAAAUCACAAGCCAGUAUGUGACAGAUAUAAAACUAGAGCUGACACCAGGGGUCCCAUGGACAGAGUUGGCUUCUUUUGGGUAAGCUGAUCACCUAGUGCCUUCUUUGGGGAAGAGGCAGGAGUGGCUGGGGCUGCCACCUAGUCACCAUGCCUCAUAGCUGGUCUUCUUGAUGGAAACAAGGCUGGAAAGGUGGGC
rnacentral:lncRNA from 1 species